UGAGGAACAUGACCUUCGGCGGGGGAUAGCCGGCCCAACGGCCGGGUAAUACCGCGUACGACCACAUGGGGACAUCCCUGAGUGGUGAAAGCAGCAAUGCGCCGAUGGAGUGCCUCGCGGCCUAUCAGCUAGUUGGUGAGGUAACGGCUCACCAAGGCGACGACGGGUAGCUGGUCUGAGAGGAUGGCCAGCCACAGUUGGGACUGAGACACGGCCCAGACCUGUACGGGGA
rnacentral:rRNA from 1 species